rnacentral:lncRNA from 1 species
GGCCCUGGCUAUUGGGGAAUUAAUUUCUCCAUGAUUCCCCCCAUCCUUUUCCAGGAUUCCCAACCCUCAUAGAACAGCCAAGGAGCGGGUCACCGGCUGCCUCGUUAAAGUUGAAUUUCAGCAACAUCUAUCAAGGUACCUUGCUGCAAAUGCCAAACACUUGGAUGAAAGCCUGGAUGAAGUCUCCUCCAGCUACCCUGGGAAGUGCUCUCUGGCCUAUGGUAACCUACAGGUGGAACUUGAGGUGUGAUGUGCCACCUGGGCUUGGUAAACAGCCCCUCCUUAUGUGUAUAUACCACAUUUUCUAUAUCCACACAUGCAGGUGGACAUUUAGACUGCUUCCUCAUCUUGGCUAUUGUGAAUAACAUUGCAGUGGAAUAUUACUCAGCCACAAAAAAGAAGGCAAUCUUUUCACAUUCAACAAAAUAAAUGAACCUUGAGAUCAUUAUGCUGAGUGAAACAAACCAAUAACAGAAAGACAAAUACUUCAUGAUCUCACUUAUAUGAGGCAUCUAAAGCAGUUAAACCCACAGAAGCAGAAUGUGGAGUGGUGGUUACCAGGACCUGGGAGGAGGGGGAAAUGGAGAGUUACUAUUCAAGGAGAAUUGAUGUUCAUAGAGUCAGUCAUGCAAGAUGAGAGAGUUCCAGAGACGUAGAUCAUUGUGCUUAGUGUUAAUGAUAAUGUAUUGUACACAUAAAAUUUUGGUGAAGAGGGCAGAUUUCAUGUUAUGUGUGUUUUUCAUAAUAAAAUAGUUUCUAAAGGAAUUAAAACUAUCCCACACUA